rnacentral:rRNA from 1 species
GACGAACGCUGGCGGCGUGCUUAACACAUGCAAGUCGAACGGAAAGGCCCUGCUUUUGUGGGGUGCUCGAGUGGCGAACGGGUGAGUAACACGUGAGUAACCUGCCCUUGACUUUGGGAUAACUUCAGGAAACUGGGGCUAAUACCGGAUAGGAGCUCCUGCUGCAUGGUGGGGGUUGGAAAGUUUCGGCGGUUGGGGAUGGACUCGCGGCUUAUCAGCUUGUUGGUGGGGUAGUGGCUUACCAAGGCUUUGACGGGUAGCCGGCCUGAGAGGGUGACCGGCCACAUUGGGACUGGAAUACGGCCCAGACUCCUACGGGAGGCAGCGGUGGGGAAUAUUGCCAAAUGGGCGGAAGCCGGAUGCAGCACCCCCGCGGGGGGGAUGACGGCCUUCGGGUUGUAAACCGCUUUCGCCUGUGACGAAGCGGGAGUGACGGUAAUGGGUAAAGAAGCACCGGCUAACUACGU